rnacentral:rRNA from 1 species
UAGGAUUUCCUUAGUAGCGGCGAGCGAACAGGAAAGAGCCCAGCACUGAAUCCUCGGUCGGCAACGGCCAGGAAAUGUAGUGUUUGGGAGGGUCCGCUAGCCCGAGGUGAUAGACGAGUCCAAGUCCUCUUGAACGGGGCCAUUUACCCAUAGAGGGUGCCAGGCCCGUAGAGACCGUCGACAAUCUCGGGAGGACCUCUCCUUAGAGUCGGGUUGCUUGAAAGUGCAGCCCUAAGUGGGUGGUAAACUCCAUCUAAGGCUAAAUACAACCACGAGACCGAUAGCGAACAAGUACCGUGAGGGAAAGUUGAAAAGAACUUUGAAGAGAGAGUUCAAGAGUACGUGAAACCGUUCAGGGGUAAACCUGAGAAACCCGAAAGUUCGAAUGGUGAGAUUCAGUGCGUCACCUGGCUGGGCCGCUGUUACCGUGUGACGGGGGCGCUCGCGCCAUUCGCACCGGUGCGGUGUUGCAUCAGUUGGGUACGCGUGCACUUCUCACCUAGUAGGACGUCACGACCCGUUGGGUGUCUGCCUAAGGCUUGUCAACGAGUCCGUUGCGGGCGGUGCUUCGGCAUUGUUUUGCUGCGGAGUGGCGAUGCCCGGCAGACUUGCCCGACGGUAUGAAUUUGUAUGUGGCCGCAAUUUAUUGCAUUCGGCCCGCGGCAAGCACAGUCGGUUACCCGGCUGCCGGACCUAGUGCCGACACUGGGGCCGUCUGACUGUUGGCUGCGUGUGUCUCGAACAGACCAUGUACAGUCGGUGACGCUAUUGCUUUGGGUACUUUCAGGACCCGUCUUGAAACACGGACCAAGGAGUCUAGCAUGUGCGCGAGUCAUUGGGACUCUAGCGAAACCUAAAGGCGUAAUGAAAGUAAAGCCGACUUGUGCGGUUUAGGGAGGAUGGGUGAUCGUUCGCGGUCGCCCCGCACUCCCGGGGUGUCUCAUUCUCAUUGCGAGAGGAGGCGCACCUAGAGCGUAUAUGCUGGUACCCGAAAGAUGGUGAACUAUGCUUGGCCAGGACGAAGUCAGGGGAAACCCUGAUGGAGGUCCGUAGCGAUUCUGACGUGCAAAUCGAUCGUAUGAGCUGGGUAUAGGGGCGAAAGACUAAUCGAACCAUCUAGUAGCUGGUUCCCUCCGAAGUUUCCCUCAGGAUAGCUGGCGCUCAUUACGAGUCCCAUCCGGUAAAGCGAAUGAUUAGAGGUAUUGGGGUCGAAACGACUUCAACCUAUUCUCAAACUUUAAAUGGGUGAGAUCUCCGGCUUGCUUAACUGAAGCCGCGAGAAUUGGAUCAGGGUGCCCAGUGGGCCACUUUUG